rnacentral:rRNA from 1 species
UACGGAGGAUCCGAGCGUUAUCCGGAUUUAUUGGGUUUAAAGGGAGCGUAGGCGGGUUGUUAAGUCAGUUGUGAAAGUUUGCGGCUCAACCGUAAAAUUGCAGUUGAUACUGGCAUCCUUGAGUACAGUAGAGGUAGGCGGAAUUCGUGGUGUAGCGGUGAAAUGCUUAGAUAUCACGAAGAACUCCGAUUGCGAAGGCAGCCUGUUGGACUGUAACUGACGCUGAUGCUCGAAAGUGUGGGUAUCAAACAGG